GGAGAGAUGCAGAGAAUUCUCGACAUGCAAACAGUUAUCGAACCAAACGGCUGUAAAAUGAAACAAAUUAACAACAGUCUUUAACAACUGUGUUUUUUUUCAUGCUUGGAUGAGUGCUGGCUUAUCUCUACCCCCUGGAUUGUAUUGAAAAGCUGGUAACAAAACAGACACACCACACUUGUAAAGUGAACAUGUGCUGGGUAUGUCUGGUCAAGCCUUGAUUGUAGACAAAAAUUAGUAAUGAUCAAUUUUUUUGAGUGAUUUAAAGGGGACAUCAUCAGGGGAAAUGGUAUGUCUACAACAGAUAAGUCCUAAAAAUUGUCAGAUGGAUAAUUGAUGUUUACACCAUUCAUUUGUCUGUUGCCAUGGAAACAGAUAAACAUUUCAAUGGCAUAUGACGUCAGAGGGGCCAAACUGAAA